GCCGGGAUAGUCUAGUGGUUAUGACGUCUGCCAUACACGCAGAAGGUCGCGAGUUCAAUCCUCGCUCUUGGUA